GCUCCUGUAGCCCAAUUGGAACGAGGCGACGAUCUUAGAAAUCGGAGGUUGCUGGUUCAAGUCCAGCCAGGAGUA
rnacentral:tRNA from 4 species